CAGUCGCCGCGGUAAUACGUAGGGAGCAAGCGUUGUUCGGAUUUACUGGGCGUAAAGGGCGCGUAGGCGGCGCGGUAAGUCACUUGUGAAAUCUCUGAGCUUAACUCAGAACGGCCAGGUGAUACUGCUGUGCUAGAGUGCGGAAGAGGCAACCGGAAUUCUUGGUGUAGCGGUGAAAUGCGUAGAUAUCAAGAGGAACACCUGAGGCGAAGGCGGGUUGCUGGGCCGACACUGACGCUGAUGCGCGAAAGCCAGGGGAGCAAACGGGAUUAGAUACCCCCGUAGUCCCUGUCUCUUAUAC
rnacentral:rRNA from 1 species